UACAGAGGGUGCGAGCGUUAAUCGGAAUUACUGGGCGUAAAGCGCGCGUAGGCGGCUUUGCAAGUCGGGUGUGAAAUCCCCAGGCUUAACCUGGGAACUGCAUUCGAGACUGCAUUGCUAGAGUAUGGGAGAGGGAAGUGGAAUUUCCGGUGUAGCGGUGAAAUGCGUAGAGAUCAGCAGGAAUACCCGUGGCGAAGGCGGCCCCUGGGCCGUACCUGACGCUGAGGCGCGAAGGCUAGGGGGAGCGAACGGG
rnacentral:rRNA from 1 species